UAGGGAAUCUUGCGCAAUGGAGGAAACUCUGACGCAGCGACGCCGCGUGGGUGAUGAAGGCCUUCGGGUCGUAAAGCCCUGUCGGUAGGGAAGAAAAACGGGAUAGCUAACAUCUAUUCCGCUUGACGGUACCUGCAGAGGAAGCACCGGCUAACUACGUGCCAGCAGCCGCGGUAAUACGUAGGGUGCUAGCGUUGUUCGGAAUCAUUGGGCGUAAAGCGCGUGUAGGCGGCUAUUUAAGUCGAGUGUGAAAUCCCUAGGCUCAACCUAGGAAGUGCAUUCGAAACUAACUAGCUAGAAGACGGCAGAGGAAGGUAGAAUUCCUAGUGUAGAGGUGAAAUUCGUAGAUAUUAGGAGGAACACCGGUGGCGAAGGCGGCCUUCUGGACCGUUCUUGACGCUGAGACGCGAAAGCGUGGGUAGCAAACAGGAUUAGAUACCCCCGUAGUCC
rnacentral:rRNA from 1 species